UUUCAUUGCCAAUACCAACCGUUGUGGUUUUGGUGGGUUUAUUUCGGGAUGCCUUGGGUUCCUGGGUUCUUGAUUUCUACCGUAAAAGCACUAGUCAUUGUCACACCUUAGUGGAAUUGGAGGCGAUGCUCAACGGUUUGGAAAUAACCGUUGCUUAUCACUUAACCCCUAUCCUUGUAGAAAUUGAUUCGAUGAAAAUUAUACAAUUUAUUCAUCAUCCAUCACCGAUAUCAUUUAUAAAUACAGAUUAGUGUUGAAGAGUAUCGGGAGUCCAGUGGUGCAACAUAAUUUCCGGAAAGCAAAUGCAGUAGCUGACGUUUUGUCAAGGAAAGGAUCGCAACAACAUCAAUCACCAACUAACCACAUUUUGACAUUUCCACUGGUGGAAUUAGUGGAACAACUUCAAAAGGAUAUCAGCGGAACUCUACUACUGUUAGGACUUCCCUGGAAAAUUCCUCUACCUUAUGUACUACUGUUUGACUUAUCUAUAUAAUAUUUUCCUUGUUUUAUCAAAAAAAAAUUAAGCCUCUCUUUGCAUUGGAAGAAUUCAUACGCAACUACUAGCUUUCUCAAAAUAAAGGAAGAUCUAAUUAUUAUUGCCCGCACAAACAUUCAACAUAUCUUAUAGUUAAGUUGUUUGCCUAUUCUUCUGAUCUCACUCCUUUAUAUAUGUAUCAGAUUUUUAGCUUUCGCCCGAUAAAACAUGAGAUUAAUGGUAUUUGCAAAAAAAAUAAAGGGAAAAGAAAAGUGUCUUAGUGUAGGCUCCC
rnacentral:lncRNA from 1 species